AGUGAACGCUGGCGGUAGGCCUAACACAUGCAAGUCGAACGGCAGCACAGUAAGAGCUUGCUCUUACGGGUGGCGAGUGGCGGACGGGUGAGGAAUACAUCGGAAUCUACUUUUUCGUGGGGGAUAACGUAGGGAAACUUACGCUAAUACCGCAUACGACCUACGGGUGAAAGCAGGGGAUCUUCGGACCUUGCGCGAUUGAAUGAGCCGAUGUCGGAUUAGCUAGUUGGCGGGGUAAAGGCCCACCAAGGCAACGAUCUGUAGCUGGUCUGAGAGGAUGAUCAGCCACACUGGAACUGAGACACGGUCCAGACUCCUACGGGAGGCAGCAGUGGGGAAUAUUGGACAAUGGGCGCAAGCCUGAUCCAGCCAUACCGCGUGGGUGAAGAAGGCCUUCGGGUUGUAAAGCCCUUUUGUUGGGAAAGAAAAGCAGCAGGUUAAUACCCCGCUGUUCUGACGGUACCCAAAGAAUAAGCACCGGCUAACUUCGUG
rnacentral:rRNA from 1 species